UGUCAUAUAUUUUGGAGUUUAUUUUUAUAGUGUCAUCUCGUUAAUUUAGAAAGCAGAAGUUACGUAAGGCAUCUGGCGUGUUAUCUGUCACAUGGUAGGGUUAAAUAAAUAAAAGUGCCCUUCUGCCUGACAAGGAUAUUUUUAUCAGAUUGGAUGAGGAGUCGACAUCAUUCUUGCUUAUGUUGUAUUUUUGUCAUCUACGCUUGCGACUCUCAUUUCCCAAAUAAGCCAAGCAGAGGUAGUGAUACCAGGCGCCCUCCUAGAGUCAUUGAGAAAUAAGUGACUACUCAGCAGGAAUGUGAAAGCUGUGGCUGAGAGUAUUCCGGAAACAUCGGAUGGUAACUGGAAGGGGCAGAAACUAUAGAGUUUGUUUCAGAGCUAGAAGGAAAGAUGAGAGGAACAGAAUGAACAAAAUAUUGGAAAUGUGAACGAGUCUAGUAGUGGAAACGCAGAGCAAAGAGAUGACAACAGAGAAUUCCCACAAGAGGGAAGGUUCCAGGCUCGGCAGGAGUGAGCAAGAAGUUUCUGGGUCAUUGUGAGACUGGAUUUCAUAGAAGAGUCUUUGCUACAGCAAAACCUCUCUGCAAGCAAUACAUUAUCCAAGCUGCUGGAGGCCAGAUUGACCAGAAAAAUGGGACCAAUAACAUGAUAGCAAAUGCAAAACAAAAAGAAAAACAAGAUCCCAUCACCUUUGGGUGGACCCAGGCGGCUGUCUGCAAAUGAACCUUAUUAGGGAAGCACUUGGCAGAAUCAGAAAGAAC
rnacentral:lncRNA from 1 species